GCCCACCCAUCCGCAUUCCGCAACUCUUUCCCUCCGCCCGCUCGCGCUCACGGCCGCCGCGAUGCCGCCACCGCCGCCGCCGCCGGUCCACCUCCGCCUCCGGGUCUCCAUCACCCCGCCCCACCCGCUCCCUCUCCCCUACUCCCGCCGCUUCUCCUCCGCCACGUCUGGCCUAGCCACCGCCCGCCACCUCUCCCUCCGCCGCGGCAGCCGGCGCCGCGCCCCCGUGUGCGCCGCGCGGAGCGAGGCCGCGGGGGCGGAGGGGUUCGACGAGGAGCUCGGAAGGCUCCUGGAGCUGCUCCCCGGGGAGCUGCGGCAGCGGGUGGAGGACCACCCGGAGCUCCCCGCGCUGGUGGAGGUGGUCAUGGACCUCGGCCGGCCCCCGCUCGCGCGCUUCCCCUCCGGCGACUUCCUCCUCUCCCACCGCCCCAUAUCCUUCGACGACCUCCGCCAGGCCACUGCGAAGGUUGGGGACUUUGGAGGUGACAAUCGCGCUGGGAUUAGCCGCACGCUGCACCGGAUCAGCGCGAUCAGGAACAGGCAGGGAGACAUUGUGGGACUGACCUGCCGCGUCGGGAGGGCUGUGCCCGGAAGUGCUAAUUUGCUUCAGGAUCUGGUGAAGGAUGGUGGGUCGUUGCUGCUCAUCGGCCCACCAGGGGUGGGGAAGACAACUGUCAUAAGAGAAAUUGCACGAAUGCUAGCAGAUGAUUACGACAAGCGGGUGAUGAUUGUUGAUACAUCCAAUGAGAUAGGUGGAGAUGGUGAUAUUCCUCACCCAGGAAUAGGCAAUGCCCGUAGGUUGCAAGUGCCCAACCAAGAAAUGCAGCAUAAGGUGUUGAUAGAAGCUGUGGAGAAUCACAUGCCUCAGGCAAUCGUCAUCGAUGAAAUUGGAACUAAGCUAGAGGCUAUGGCUGCUAGCACCAUUGCACAGCGGGGGAUACAACUUGUUGCCUCCGCUCAUGGUGUAACAAUAGAGAAUCUGACCAUGAAUCCUUCACUAGAUAUGCUUGUAGGAGGAAUACAGAGCGUCACCCUUGGCGAUGAAGAAGCAAGCAGGAGAAGGGUACAAAAAACUGUCCUAGAGCGCAAGGGCCCAUCAACAUUUGCAUAUGCUGUAGAGAUCGUGUCGAAAACUGAGUUACGUGUCCAUCGUAGCCUGGAAGCUACAGUAGAUGCUCUGCUUGCAGGUAGAAUGCCUAAUGUUGAAAUUCGUAAGUUAGGUUCAACCGGCUCGGUGCAGCAGGAAGUUUCUGUGCAGAAGGAUCAAUUUCGUCGUGCUCCUUACGAAAUUGCGUCUCAAUCUGAAGUUGCUUCCUUAAGUAAUGCAAGAACAAGCUUGGACUCUGCAUUUAAUCUUGAUUCUGCCAACGGACAUAUAGAGAACUCUAAUGUGUCUGAGGCAGCCUUCAAUCUCUAUGCUUAUGGGAUAUCCGAGGAAAUUGCCUUGCAAGCGAUUAAACAACUGGAGCUGGAGGAAAUGAUUACUUUGACUUAUAAUAUCAGUGAAGCUGAUGCAGUGAUUGCUUUGCAAUCGAAGCUCAAGAAGAAUUCUCAGAUUCAGGCUGUGUUGAAAUCUGAAGAUAUACCGGUUUUCUUCGCUAAGACGAACUCCCUGGUGCAAAUUACCCGGGCACUUCGCGUCCUUGUCGAUGAUCACGUGGAUGGGUUGAUCGAUGUUGAAGAUAAGGAGGAAGUAAGAUCGUCUGAGGAAACCGAUGCUUUGGAGGAAGCAAGAUUGGCAGUCGAGCAGGUAGUGAUCCCGAAAGGGGAGAGCGUGCAGCUCCUGCCUAGACCAUCGACCAUCAUCUCCUCCCAAGUAAACCUCGUCGAAAGCUUCAACCUCAAGUGGGAAAUCACAGGCCAGGAGCCAAACGCGUGCCUGAGGAUCCUUCCGCAGUUCGCGGACAGGGAAGUAGGUUCUGCCUCGGAGCAAGAGUCCGCACCCGGGCUCACAGAUUCAGAUAGCAGCUCCGAUGGCAUGGACUAUACACAGAGCGGCGUCGCCAGGCUACCCUUCCUCCCGGAGUAGCAUCCUGCCGAGUUCUUUCGCUGUCUGUGUCUCUGUACCUAGAUGUAUAUUCCAUUCCUUUCUUUUUGCAGCCGUUGGUCGUUGUUGAUACCCCGGAUCGGGUCCAACUCAGAGCUGCACGACAACGUUUGGCAGGAGAUACAUGCCUGCUGACCCAGCUGGCCUGGCCAAAGACCGGAUCAUGUUGAAAGUGCAUGCAGCGGAUCCUGCGUCUUCCCCGCAAUACGCCACAUCGAAGAGACCAGUGACGCAGCACGCAGGGCUGCUUGCCGGUGUGAGGACUGAGGACGGAGUUCAGCGAUGGAUGGACUUGCAUGCAUAUGUGUUGAGCCUCGUGACCCCGGCCGUGACAUACGCUGUUCUCUGACCGUCAUCACAGAGCGCAACAGCUGGGUCAGCAUGCAUGUAUCUCUCGUCGGCUCGCGAGUCGCGACAGCGCGGCGAAGCAAAACCAAUUCCUACAAGUGUAGCGCCCAUACGCUAGUCGUUGCACUGUACAGUGUAGCGCCUAGCUCUCAUGCGUUACACAUUGACUUAGCAAUUCUCAGACACUUCACGGAGCGACACUAGUCAGACGUGUAGCGUCCGCCAGCCAGGCGCUGCAUGUGUAGUGUGAUGUCUGGCUGUCGGGCGCUACAUGAAAGGGUCAGUGAAGUGAAUUUUUUUCAAAGACAGUUCAAUUUAUGAAUUCUUUUCGUUCAGAGGUCAAA